GAUGAACGCUAGCGGCAGGCUUAAUACAUGCAAGUCGUGGGGCAGCAUGAGUAGCAAUACUUGAUGGCGACCGGCAAACGGGUGAGGAACACGUACACAACCUUCCUUCAAGCGGGGAAUAGCCCAGAGAAAUUUGGAUUAAUACCCCAUAAUAUAUUUGAUAAGGCAUCUUAUUAAAUAUUAAAGCUUCGGCACUUGAUGAUGGGUGUGCGGCUGAUUAGAUAGUUGGCGGGUAACGGCCCACCAAGUCUACGAUCAGUAGCUGAUGUGAGAGCAUGAUCAGCCACACGGGCACUGAGACACGGGCCCGACUCCUACGGGAGGCAGCAGUAAGGAAUAUUGGACAAUGGACGAAAGGUACUGAUCCAGCCAACUGCCGCCGUGAAGGAUU
rnacentral:rRNA from 1 species